UACGUAGGGGGCAAGCGUUGUCCGGAAUCAUUGGGCGUAAAGCGCGUGUAGGCGGUUCGGUAAGUCUGCUGUGAAAGUCCAGGGCUCAACCCUGGGAUGCCGGUGGAUACUGUCGGACUAGAGUACGGAAGAGGCGAGUGGAAUUCCCCGGUGUAGCGGUGAAAUGCGCAGAUAUCCGGGAGGAACACCAAUUGCGAAGGCAGCUCGCUGGGACGUCACUGACGCUGAGACGCGAAAGCGUGGGGAGCAAACAGG
rnacentral:rRNA from 1 species